GCUGCAUUUAAAACUUGGCCUCAAUGCUGAAGCAGAGGCAAGUUAUUACUUUAUUUAUUUUCAUUUGGGGGUCACCAGUACAGCAAGUGUUUUAUGAAAAUGGAGUAACCAUCAGAUAUCUCUUGUAUGUCACUCUGUGGUUCAUUCAUAGCUAUAUCUUGUUGAGAGAAUUUUGAGUUUUCUUCAGUAAUUUCCAGGGUUUGUUUCCUGCUGCCCGUCAUGGCGUGCAGUGUCC